rnacentral:rRNA from 1 species
AAUCCAUGUUGCUUUCCCAGGUUCCCCUGGGGGAGGUCCAAUCCAACACCGAUGANUGAGUCUGUANUCUGAGUANGCCCAGUGCCAUGAAUUUUUAAACAAGUUAAAACUUUCAACAACGGAUCUCUUGGCUCUCGCAUCGAUGAAGAACGCAGCGAAAUGCGAUAAGUAAUGUGAAUUGCANAAUUCAGUGAAUCAUCGAAUCUUUGAACGCACAUUGCGCCCCUUGGCAUUCCUUGAGGCAUGCCUGUUCGAGCGUCACUACAAACCCCCUCAUAGAUAUUUAUGGUAUUGAUGGAAGUGAACUGUGUGUCUAUUGGUGUACUCAUACCACUCCAUCGAAAUGAAUAGGCAGGACAAGUGGCAACUGCAAUGGACUUAGUAAAUGGUUUUCAGAUAUGGACCAGUUCUUUGCUAUGUUGUACAGCCUGUAUCUAUGGACUCCCAUCCAAUGAGCACUUUGGGUUGACCUCGAAUCAGGUAGGGAUACCCGCUGAACUUAAGCAUAUCAAUAAGCGGAGGAAAAGAAACCAACAGGGAUUGCCCUAGUAACGGCGAGUGAAGCGGCAAAAGCUCAAAUUUGAAAUCUGGCACCCCUGGUGUCCGAGUUGUAAUUUGGAGAGGUAUCUUCCGGAGGGGCCCAGCCUAUGUUCCUUGGAACAGGACAUCACAGAGGGUGAGAAUCCCGUUCAUGGCUGGAUG